rnacentral:lncRNA from 1 species
CCCGUCCAGCUGGGGAAGCUGGUGCAGACUGGCGUGUAGAACACAGGAAGCCGGAGGGAGGGCCAUUUCCCCUUUCGCCCUCGAAAGUCCCCUCCCUCCCCCCGGGUGUGCAGCAAGAUGUCAAACCGGGGGCCGUGGGGAGACCCUCCCUUGCGGCGGAGCUCCACGACUCUACUAUCUUAACUCUACUUGGGGGGCCUCCUUAUACCCCAACCCCCAGAUUCUAGUUGCCGAAGGGAGACAGGAUACAGGUGCUGACUCAGCCAUUGAGACAUGUUAUCCAAGGAGCGGAGCUGGGAGGCGCCUGUGAGGACCGUGAGGGCCCACACCUGGGUGUUGCUUAUCUUGGGGGAUUUUCACCUCCUCUGCAAGAAGGGCCGCUGACCACAGGGCUCUGUAAAGUUGCUACCUGCCUUGCCGUAUUUUUCAGAACCCAUCUCCAAAAUGUUGGUACACAACAGGAUACAAAAGCACACACAAAGGGGAAAGCAAGCAAGUCUGGAGCAGUGGUAUAGAGUGUUCAAAUGAUUUCUCCAAAAUCUGUGCCCAGGACAAUACUCCCACAUGCUGCCGAAUGCCCCUGUGAGCAACUUGCCUUCCAGCCUGUGCAGAGUCACCUCUGGUGCUGGCAAAUGACUUUUCAGAGCAAGAAGACCCAGCAGACAUGAGUGAAAACAGCUGCCUGCACAAGUUGUCCCCUAACAGGUACAGCCAAGAGUCAGAAGCACAGAGGGAGCUGGGGAAGCGACAUUUCUUACAGAGCCCACUGCUGUCCCUGUGUGAAGUGGCUCAUAUCAGCUCUCGAUUCUAUGCCGGUGUUCUGGAUUUCCUCUUGAGAUGUGCAUUUGUAUCAGCCAUCCUGUCCCCUGUGCCUCUGACGAGCUCCCUUCUGGAUGGCCUGCUGUCAUGCUGAGAUGACCCUUCACUAACAUCUGAGAAGUCCCUUUGCUGUUCUACGGUGUGGAAAACUUGUUUCCUCCAUCUCAUGUCUUCUUCCUUGCUUAAUUCCUUUGUUUAAUGAAACAAAUUAAUUCCUUUGUUAAUGAAACUUCCCAAUAGUUUCCUAAGAAAAGUGUGUAAGUGGUCAACUAUUUGCAACCUAAUAUGUCUGAAAAUUCUACAUAUACUUUUAACAUGUAGUUUGAUUGGGUAGAUGAGUCCAGUGUGGAAAUAUUUUUUCAAAAAUUAGAAGCUAUUGCACUAUUGUCUUGUAGUAUGGUGUGUUGCUUUUGAGAAGUUGUAAGCCAUUUUUUUUUAAUCCUUUGUGUGUUUAUAUCUUUUCUUCUGUUUUUGCACCUCACAACCUUUUAUUUAUUUUUUCUCAUCAAUGCAAUAAACUUUCAUGAUGACAGGGCUUGUGUGGGUCAUGCUGUUCAAUUCUGGGAAAUUUCCUUGACUGACUUUAUUGGUGAUUUCCUCCUCUCCAAUUUUUCCAUUCUCCCUCUUUGGAACUUUUUAUUAUUUGGGUGAAACAUAAUUAUUGGUCUGUAGUGGUCUUCUAAUUGUCUUUUCUCUUUUAUUUUCCAUCUGUGUC